GCCGCCCACGGGGCAUGCAAUGGAGGGAUUGCGUUGGGAAAGGUGCCGUUGUGGGUUUGGGGUCUGUGAAAUUCAGUGUCCUCCUCUGACAACGACCAGGAGCCCAGGGGAUGGUGGAAGAACUGGCGCUGGCUGGGAGUGCUCCUCACCUCCUGUCAGACGCUGCUCAGGAGGUGGUCCCUUCCAGCGCCUUCCUGGCGGGGCUGUCUGAGCUGCGGGCUCGGGGAGAUGGGAGGAAGCCCUGAGGAAGCUGAAAUGCUGUGAUGAAAAAAGAAACUGAAGGCUGAGAAGAGUCAGAUGAUGUUUCUGAGAUAUCCUUCCUGUUCCUCAAUGAAAACUAGAAAAAAACAUGGGAAAUGAUGGAGUUAGCCAACCAAGUUCUGCUGCUUGGGUUGUGUGGAAUACUGGGAUGCAGGCUGAAUCAAAUGGCUGUAAACACCAUCUCAUUAAUAGGGGUGCCAGUUUCCUGAGCACCUGAGCACAAUAGCACCUGAAAUAACACGAAAAUCCUCAUUCCACAUUCUAAAAAAUUUCAACCCUCAACCCUUAAGCGCUAUGAGGUGAAUCCAAAUGCGAAAAUAUUUUUAUUGGGUACAUCGUUCAGUUGUAUUAAUACUAGGAUACCAGAAUGACAGUUUGGAGCUUGAGAAAGAUCACAUGAUUACAAUAAUUAAGUUCAUAGGUGGGGUCUUGAGAGGAGGAUGUUGGAAUUGAUUGUCAGACCUUAUUCCUCAGAAUGAAAAAGCUAAGAGGGUUAGUACAUUAUUCCAGAGCAGCUAUUAGCUGUUACAAAGUCUGGGGUUUGGAAUAAUAAGAUAAUUAAAGUUCUUAUUCAUUAAAUGAAAUAUGAUCUACAAUGAGCCACCUAAUCUUGCUAGAGAAUAAGGUGAAAUUCUUAAGGAUUUAUUCCAAAUAUGUGAGAGGAAUUAAGUUUUUAUCAUUGCUUUAAAGUGGAGUAUGGCAGAGGAAUUUCACAUCCAGUGAUAAUUUUAUGAAAAGAUUUAAAAAUCAUUGUUUCUUCUUGUUAAGCACAGUGUGUUCACCCAAACCGUGAUGGAAAAGGAAAAGCAGAUCAUUGACUGGAAAAUUCACAAGUGUCAAGAUAGAUCUAAGUAGAUCAUAAUCAGUGGUAUGAUAUAGACACCUUCUAGUAAAAGAUCUUGGUAUGCUUUAAGGCUCAUCCGUCUCUGUUGCAACAGCAGCCAUAUAAAAUUGCUUAAUACUGUCACAUGCAGUACAGCAAAAUAUUCCCAGUAUCUGUAGCAUUCUAGAUGCCCUAAAGGGACUGUUGUAUUUGAAUAAAAGAAAGCAAUAUUGUACAAGUGAUUGUUGCAGGUCAAGUGGGCACUGGAAAGUUACAAUGCCGCUGAAAAUCAAUAUAUAAACAAAGGAUGAAAAUGAAAAAGUCAAUGAAUGUACAAUUUGGGCAACACGUCUGAAUCAGAAAAGUUGAAGAGAGAUUUUAAAUAUCUGUAGCCAUGGUGGACAAAGGUAAUGAACAAUACUUUGUUCAUGUUGGGAACAAAAUAAACAACAAACAAACCUUUUAUGUGAUGAGGUCCUUGCUAGAGGCAAAGCAGUGAAGCGUUGAACAAGAAAGGUAUGUCUUGACGUAGUUUUGUUUGGGAGCAUCUCAUACUUGUUAUUUGGAGUCAACAACUAUAGCUAAUGGUCUGUAGCAUGAAAAGCAUUGCGUAACAUUCAGUUUCAUGCAACAGGAAUUUAUAAUUUCUACCCAGGAGUCUUAAAAUAAACCAGCUGGGGAGGUCUGUGUUGAUUUUCAACAAACCUCGGGGUUUGCCAGCUGCUGGGGUGUUGCCAAGUAAGCUGCCUUAUUUAAAACCUAAAAAGGGGAUCAGUCAAAAAGGUAGGUCUUGGCAAAUAAUCAUGACUGAUUUUCUCAUUAGAUGUGAUAUCUAGCUGCUGGUUGUACUGUGUUUAAACAAGGGUUUUUUUUUCUUAAAAUUUGCAGAAAUUUACCAUGGUGAGGGGAAUGAUUCAGGGGAGGACCGUUUAGUCAUCACAGAUAUUAGUUGGAACCUUCUGUGUAUUACACUGGCAGGUGCUUUACUAUGACCUUAGGACUUAAUGGGAAAUGAAUAAUCAGAAUAAUGUGGAAAUAAGUACUGCUCUUGCGUUAUGACUCAAUGUUUUGAAGUGGUUUUGUGUCUUUUCAGGAAGAAUAUGGACACUUCAGGGGGAGUUUAAAGGAAGGAGAACUAAAAAUAUUCCUGAAGAUGCAGAGCAAUUUGCAGGAUAGGAAGCUUAAGGAUGCCAAGAUUAAGAAGUGACUUAGAAAAUAUCUCCUCAGGGGGUCACUGCAGUGUAAAGCAGUGAUGCCUGAGUUAGUUUGGAAUUUAUCUGCAUCUUAUCUGAAGUUAUAUUUCCUCACCUGCUGUUUUAAUUCGAACAAACUCCAUUUCCAACCAGUAGCUCUUAUGCUAUGAAGUUCAUCUACAUUAGCUUUUUUAUGUGCCGCUGUCUCUACAUAUUGAUCAAAGGUUAAUUUGCACUACAGUUACACGCAGUAAAGUGAAACAUACAAUUGCUAACUAGCCAGCCCACAUUUAAGUGAAUUUCUAAUCCCACAUUGGAACUCACUCUGGGCUGCCUGGUCUGUCUGAUGAGCAGUGUGUGGUUUAGUGGUGCUAGGAGAGAAAGAAAAUUUAAAAUAAAAUAGAAAAGCAGCUACUGAGUUCUACUUAAUUUAAUCAAACACUGUAGAGCUACUGAUCAAGUACCCUGCUGUUUUGCUGUACUGCUUCUGUCAUUUCUUUUGGUAUCGACUCUGUAGGACCAGACCCCCACCCUUGAUUAGAACUGGGAGAAGGAGCCCAGCAAUCCUUCCUUCAAGGUUUCUCUGCUGGGCAGUCAAAAUGGCUUCAGAGAAACAGCUUCUGUGUCAGAGCAAUCCUGAAGACUGGCAAGUGGGCAAUGGUACCUUGGGGUUAGCACAGCACACUUCCUCUUGCCUUUUGCACUGGCCCCAAAGACUGAGAUAAGCAAUGCAGAAGAAGAUAAAAAUUACGUUUCCAUUAUUGUGAUUGAUAGCUGACCUUUUGCGUGUGCUCAAAAGACAAAUCAUUGAGAAGUGUACCUGGUACCUACCUGUGUAACGCAGAGGAUGCUUCUUAGGUCAGUGGUGGACUCGGGCAGAGCUCUGCACCUGCUCAGAUGGUGCUUCCAGCUAUGUGACAGGAGAAGCACUUGGAAUGGUGAGCAGGGCUUUGUCUUUACUACUUGCCCCUCUCUGUGGGAAGUGUAGGAGAUGGAGAGGUCAACUUGGCCUCAUCGAAUGUCGGCUCGCUGGUAACGAGGCUCUGGAAAUGAGACAGAAGUUCUGAAUAAACAGGAGUGUUUUGUACCGAGGCAUAAGAUAAACUCUCUGCUGUUUAUGAAGACUUGUUAUGGAAUUUGCUUGCUUUCUAGCCAAUGGAUUGUUAGUGGAAAUGUACUGAAUAUGUAUGUUAGAAUAUAAAAAGGCUUUCUGAGAAGAAUAAGCAUGGAUACACAGCAUCAUGAUCAUCACAGCAACGAAGAAAUCUUCCUGGCAUGAGAACCCUGUGUCGUGUUGCUAACUCACGACAGGAAGCACUUCCCUUCAGCCUGACAUCUUUCAAUACAAACCCUCACAUUACUGUGAGCUGGUGAGAGGCAUACUUCAGUUCCUGAGGUUGCCAAAUACAUAUCAGACCUUUGGGCCUUGAGAAUUGCCUGCCAAUUUGCAUCUAUAUUUGGGGGAAGUGGGGAGCAGUGUUUGAUCUUUGCAUGCCUCCCAGUUCACUCUUUUUACCUUAAUGAACCUUAACAGUUAAAGCAAAUAGGUUUAUUCUAGAAGAGUUGAAUGCUAAAUCCUUACAUUAAAUGCUUAAAGCCAUGUAGGGAAGAAAGCUAUAAUGAAGUCUAACUCUAGUGCAAACUUGAGAUUGAGCUUUCUCCUUGACUAACACAAUCUUUUAGGCUGCAGCAGGUAUUCAAGAGAAUGGCUCAGUAGCCCUUCACCAUCUGUGGAAGUCCUAUUUCUGAGGAUAUUUAGACUUUCUCAGUGACAUUUCUAAGAUUGUCACAACAUUAAGUUUCACAACUCUAAUAUUGUUUAAAACACUUCUUACAAUAUUGCAUCAUAUUCGAUGUUUACGACUAUGCAUGUUAUAGUUAUCUGGAUGACAUGCUUGAUAUUCAGAGUGGAUUUUUUUUGCCAAGGUUUAGGGCCCGACUUUACCAUUGCAUUCAGAUCUGAUCCAGGCUUGUUCUGUGGCUUCCUACUCUGCUUCUAUUCUUGGGAGCUUUCUCAGCUUCUUUUUCCAUCCCACCCGCUCCAGGAAUAGUCAGCUAUAUAUCUUGCCUUAUGUAAUUCAAAUUCCCAGUCCUAGGUUUGCCUUUCUUUUGACACGUAUCUAUGUUUUAGGAAUUAUGAAGGCUGCUUUGAAGGUCUGCUGCAGAAAGAAGCUGACCCCUGGGGAAAUUGUAAUAACAAUAAAGGAGAGCCAGUUUAAUGACCUAUUUUGACUGGCAAAGCCAUUCCCCAGUCACUACCAGAGUAUAGCCAUCUGCUGCUGCCGACUGCUCGACAACAACCUGGGGAGAGACGGCGUGGGAGUCCAGCUGAAAGCUGACGUGUGGAGCUGUGGGCUCGGAGCGGGAAACCACUAUCUAAGAAAGAUAGAAAUUGGGAAAAUCAGCAGGCAACAUGUGACACAAAUGCAUCCUGCUUGGCUUUCUCACAUCGCUGCCACUUUUCUGUUUGCAUUAAUUACUUUGCAUUACACUGCAUAAUGUUUUGCAUAAUGUUUCAUCAUGAUCUGAUUAAGCCUCUAUAAAAUCCACUUUAUUUAACACAGCAAAAUCAUGGUUGUUGAGGGAUCCUCAAAAUGCAUUGUGUUUAUUAAAAUAUGAAGAAGUCACUCCAUGCUUUCAGAUCCUGUAAUUUCAAGUAUUUAAUAAUCAACCGUAGAAGAUGAAGAUGGGUCACUUAUUCAGCUUUGUAGAUUUACGAGUACAUUUAAGGAAAAAAGAAAGAACUGUAGCUACAAUGUCUAGCUAAAGGAGACUUCAGGCCAUUGAAGGUCAAAUAUAUUUUCAUUUAUUUUCACCUUUGUCCUUCAGCUUGAAAAAUAAACUACACCGUGUGUCAUCACUAUCUGGCCUUGGUGCUGUUGGAGUGCAAAGCUAUGGCAGGAGCAGACUGUGGCCAUGAGUGCUGCUACAAAGCCACAAGCAGACAGAGCUCGAUUCCCAGAGCUGCUGAGGUGGUUGUUGCUGCAGAAAGGCCCUUGGCAAGACGAAGCUGGGCACCUCGAGGUCUAACUCCUGCUGAUUUCUGUAUGAGGGAAAUGAGAUGUGUGUGUUAUAGUUUGGUGGUGGUGUUUGUUUCUAAUCAUAUGUAUUCCUGGGAAAUGAAUGCGACUGUCAAGUGUUCUGCACUCGGAUAUGAAAGCCAACAGACUUCUGCUCUGCACGUGAAAAUUUCCCAAACCAUUGAUCUGCAUGAGCUGAGUCCCUAUGCUUCAUCAGACAGAGUGGGGUGCACCAAAUGAAAAGAUAAUGCGACAGAUGAAGGAAAUCCAAAAGGAAUCUCUUCAUCAUUCAUAGCAUGAUGUCACUGUCACAGGAUACUGUGGAGGGCAAAGCAACAUGUAAAUUCAAAAACCAAUAAGCAGAAUUAAUGGAAAAGAAUUCCUUUAUGGACUAUUAAAAGACUAUUAAGGACUAUUAAACACCAGGCACGGGUGCAAUUUCCAGCUCAGGAAAUCUCUGGGCCACUGAGUACCAGACACGGAGACUACUGGGAGAAAUAUUGGUCUGUCCUUUUACUUUCCUCAUACAUCUCCCCUGUAUGUCCUGAAAUCUUCAUUCAAACCCCAUACUUCCUUUCUUAGCUGAAAAAUCUGGCUAAAAAUACUGAGAUGUAAUGGAUCUCUAGAAAAAAAGCUUCCUAUUUGUUAUUGCUUUGUAUCAAACAAGUGCAGAGAGGCCCUGAGGAGGGUGGGCGGCUUGUCAUGCGGGAUGUUCUCUAUGCCAGCAAGGACUAUCUAUGCUAGCAUGUUUUGGUUCUCAUGCCCCAAGCCAUAUUCAGUCCUGAAGCUGCUCAGACGUGACAGUGUGUGACCAUGCCUUGCCAACGCUUGGCUUCUCAGCUAGCUCUGGCUCAUAUCCAGCCAGACUGAACAGGACUGCAGCCAAUGAGGGACUGACUGCAUCUCAGGGUGCGUGUAAACCCAUGGGAAGACGCUCUUACCUCCAGGAACAACAGAAUUGACACGCUACUGUCCCAUAGAGAUGAGGGGACACCUGGAGGAGAUCCUCACCCCUUGCAUAGCCCAGUGCUACCCCACUCUGCACUGAGUUUAACUCUGAGAGUCAGGAAGUCCCUAAGUGAUAGGACACUACUGCCAAAAUUGCACCUAAAGAGAGUUGUUACUCAUAGUAGCUGUGAAGCUUACAGUGAAGACUUUUCCGUCCUUUUUCCUGAAGCGGGGAACCAACAAACAGUGCAUUUGUUUGAGUUUGACCUCAGUGAUGUCAGCUUCAGGUGUGUGGAGUGUAUGCAGUGCUCUGCUUCCAAACAGUGUUAUGCUGAAAACCAGCUUCUGCAUUCAUCAGAGGUAUGAGCCUCUUGUUCAUUGUUAAGACCAAACUGAAUGUGAGCUUUUCAGGAUCUUUUAAAACUUUCCCAUAUCCCACUCUCCCAGAGCUAUCAGAGAGACUUCCCCUUCCUGAAGAACUUUGCUCUUUUCUUCAUUACUCAAAACUCACUCUCUGAAGCAAUAUAACAUCUCAGGAACAAACAAACAAACAAAAGCUUCACCUUGGAGCUGACCAAAACUAUAAGCAUAGAUUUUAUUUCCUUAUUUAUUUGUGACAAACUAUAAUUUCCCUGAAAUACUGACUGGUAAUAAAUGUGUCUUUUCCAGUUCUGAAAGUAUCCUUAGUGUAAUAUCUCUAACUCAAGGGGGUAAGACUGGUUUACAUCAGCUGUAAAUCUGAUUCCACAGCUAUGGGAGUGUGACUGUGUGCUGUUUUCUAAUCAAAUAACCACUGUGAAAUACCUGAUUCACUUUGCACCCAACAGCUGUACUUUCAGCCUCUGUUCCCAGUCACACUCUGAAAACAAGCACAAUAAGAAAGGUCGAAACAGCUGCAACUUCUCAACAGAAAAAAAAAGGAGGGAGAAAAAAAGCUUGUUGUCAGGCUCUAGCUUAGGAAGGAAGUAAAACCAUUUUUCUUAUCCGUCUCAUGCGUGUCAGCUGUCUUAGAAAAAUUAUUACUGUUCUGUGUUGUAACAGAAACUCCACAAUAUUUAGUAAACUACAAACUCCAAUCUAUUCAUGGCCAAAUAAAGAUUUAACAUUUCUGAUGCAGCCAAAACAUGCUCAGUAUGUCAAUGGGCUGCAAUUAUGCUCCAGGAGAGCUUUGGAAUUCACCUUCCGGCCCCAAUUGUCUUCCUUAAAAGAGCUCAUGAAUCUUCUGCGUUUGGACCAUCUAGAUCAAUUUGAUUUUAGUUUUAGAUUUUGGCUGAAAAAAUAUACGUUUAGUAAAGGAGGCUGCAUUUCCUUUCCAGUACUAGUUUAUUAGUGCUUUCCGGAGCUGUUAAAGAGCAUAAUUCUUUUUAAUCUAAAUAAAAGCACAAGCAGAAAAUAGCAGGUGACUAUUUGCUGAUUGGGUAAAGCAUAGCUGCUUUUGCAAUCCCAUUAUUUUUGUUCCUCUGAUACUUUUUUUAAAGAAGCAAAAUACAGGCUAUUUUCUGAUAAAUGCUGGGUCAUUAGCACAGCCAUAGGCUUCAGUGGAAUCACUUGUAAAGAUUCAGUGUGAUCCAGCUCUAAAUACAUCAAAAACCUUGAAUCAGCUAGCCAUCAUCUACAGGAGGAAAAAUUGUGUUCUGAGAAACUAUAUAUUAAACCUUCUCCUGACUUUUGCAGAAAUGCUUUUCUUUAAGUUCGUAGUAAACAGAGAAAAAAGAAUGGAAAUGGAAACAGACUCAGGGAUGAGGCAUUGGUAGAAAGGCAAAAAGUGAUGAUCAGAAGAUAGUGUAAAAGAAGAUAGAAAGAGAGCAAGAAAAACCACAGAAAGAAAAGGAGGAUCAAAUGGUUGAUUACUGAUUGAGCGUAAGCAGGUGAAUGUGAGAAACUUUUUCAAAUAAUUUUUUCUUGAGUUGAGUGUCAGUAGUUUGCUUCUGUACCUAUGGGUGCAGUUGCCAGAGACAGAGGUACUGUGCAACUAUUAAUCUCAUGUAUAACUGCUAGUGCUGAAAUCUAUGACACAGACUAAAUUGUCUAAAGAUAGACUUGAAAUUUAGUACUUCAAAGAGGACCUAAAUACAGGAUGAACUGCAUUCAUUAGAAGAAAUCCAUAUUUGAAUAUAUAUUUUUUUCUUUUUCUUUUAGAUAGUUUCUAUGAAAAUAUGAAGAUGUUAAUACAAUAUAACCUGUUGUAAAACAGGUUCCCUGAUAGACAGAACCAUGCAACUCAUUUUCUCUGAAAGCAAAUCUCUCUGAACAGGUAUGGUCAACUCUGAAUAGCUGCAAGUUACAAGUAGAUUGUACAAGAAAAUCCAGUAUUUUCCUGUACAAAGAGGUAAAUAUGUUAGGGCAAAUGACGCACUGUGCAAAAGGUAGGUGUGCAAUAAGGGAAACAACAGAGGAUCCCUUGCAACACAUAACAGAAGCUUUGUGAAUAAAACAAAAAAAGAACAAUUAAAUUUCUUCACUAAAAAGUAUGGGGAAUUGACUGGGAUAUUGUUUUGAUGAAUUAAGUUACUGUUAGAUUAUCCUGACUUUUUAAUCCAUUUUACUUCAGUAGUGUUAGUUUAAUGUCUCAGUAUUUAAUGAUUUUCAUCUCAUUGCAGUUAAUAGCUAUAUUUCCAUAGAAACACUGAAAAUCUACUUUUGUUGGGCAUUUCCUGAUGAACAUGCUUGAAAGCACUUCCUAGAUAACUGUAAGUGUUAAAAAAAUGAAAGAUUUAAUGGAAGUGAGCAUUACAUUCUGCAAAAAGACACAUCUGCAUCCUAGUGACCUACUAUUCCUUCCAAGACCAUUUAAAGGAAAUAAAAAACACUAAGGAUUUUACUUGGUGAUGGUGUCAUUAAAGCUAGUUAGUAUGCUUAUUCUCCUGGUGGUCGCACCAAACUCUCAAAGAAAGAGCUCGUUCUUGUUACGGUAUAAGACCAAUGAUAACUUUCCUCUGUAACUCAAGCCAAUCUAAUUCAAUGAUGAGAAUAUUUCUGCUAAUGGCAAUAUGCAGUUUACACAAUAGCCUUUCUUUUGAUCUGUAGUUGAACCUGGAAUGGGAAAUGUAUCCCGGAAAUGUUUUAAUUGUUCUAUGAAUUGGGUAAAUGUCUGAAUGAAAUGUGUGGUUCAGGACUUGAAUGAAUAAUUUAAGGAAUCUUGCAAAUAAAAAUAAUGCUGGCUUGUGCUUUCCACCAAAGCUCCCUAAAAGCUUUGUGACAGACAAAAACAAAUGCAGUGAGUAAGAUAGUGGUUGUUACUAACUGUAUUUUUUAGAUAGGGAAAUGCCUUCGGAAAGGUUAAACAAAUUGCUCAUGUUCACUGUGUGAACCAGUAUCUAUGCUUAAGAGCAGAGCGUAGGUUGCUCCUGUGCUUAGCACGUAGCUCUUAGCAUUUGCCUUUCCUGCCUUAAGACUUCCUGCAGCUUACAGAUAACGAGGCUGUCAAAGGAAGUUCAGGCAAAACUGGCAGGGUUGUCACUGAACAUUUUGUUAAAUUCCUAUCUGUUAGAGGGAAAGGAGAAAUGUAAUUUGCUCUGAUUUUCUCCUGUUUUCCACCUAUCUUUUGUGGAAAAUUACUUUGACCUCCCGCUUUGCAGGAGCACAACAGACUGUGCAGUAAGGGACAGGUUCUGCAUCCAGUCUGUGCAGAAGGAAGUAGUUGGAGUAUUGGCUUCCCUUUGACCAAAAUAGGCGCCAACUGUGGGUUAAUAAAUACUGGAAACAGUAUGCACACCUGCCUACUGGGUGUAUUAAGGACAGAGAAUGAGGGGAAGGGAGAGAAGAAAGAGAAAGCAUGUUAUUUAGACUAUCUGAUGACUUACACCCUACAAAGAUUGUUAUAAGAAGGUGCAGUGCCCAAGUGUUUUCUAAUGGAAGAUUGUCAGAAUGAGAAAGCUGGAAGGGCACAGCAGCUCAUGAUGGCCUUCUUAUUCAGUGUAAUUUAACAAUGGUUGAUGGAUAGCGCUCCUAUCGUUGAUGACUCAUCAGCCCACGGAGUAAGGAUAUUCAGACUGCCAACAGUUCAGGACAAAUAAAGCUGUCCGAAUGAAAAGGAUGUAGAUACUUGGAUACAAGAGGAAUCCAGACAUACACACCCAGGCUGGACCCUGUGGCAGCUCUAGAAGCCAAGCUCUCCAAGGUGGUCACUGCAGGUUAACACUGCUUGAAGUGAUAUGGGUAGAUAGAGGCAGCCCUCAUUGCUUUCAAAGUAUUUUUUCCUCUUAUGUGUGACUGACAAACUUCAAAAAGACUGUUGGCCCUACGGGUUUAGACUUAUUUCAUUAUUCACCUACAAAGAAGGCACGCAGACUAGUCUGCCUACCUAGAUCAGUUAUGCACUCAGUGGAGGGAGACAGAUUUCAUGAGCAUAAUUUACCACUUAUUAUGGAAAACGUCUUUUAGGGCAGGAAGAAAUGCUGUCCAAAAGAACAGUGUGAAGAAAAUGUCUUGUAAAAUCUAAGAUGCAAUCAGAGAUACUUGUAAGCAUGUAGGGGAAGAAGUUAAUCUCAAUUCUUCAGCUGUGAGUCAUAAUCUCAUAUGGGUACAAUAGCAAGUAAUUUGGUGCCAUAAAAGUGGAUCAGUAUCUAGAAACAACUAACGCUCCUGUUUCUGCACAAUAAGUUGUCUGGGCAUUUUACUUUAAAUUAGGUUUAAUCUGAUCUUCUAGAUCAAAUGACCUUAUGAAGCACAUGUCUGAAACAGUUUGAAGAAUCAGUCAUUCUUUUAGACCUUCCUACCCCCAGCUGGAGUUGAAGCAUAUUCAGUAUGCAUGUAGGACAGAAAGUGCAGUUUAUUUUCCUUUGAAAGAAAUCUAGUUUGUAUGGACCAAAACAGAUCUCUGAAGUUAACCAGAUGGACUAAUUGGAGACUGUAGUGGAAUUUGAUCCAGAACCAUUGCUCCAAACCACAAGUCCCAUGUGAACGUUUAAAAUGCCGAGUGCUCCAUUAGAUGCUUUGUUUAUGUUCCAGAGGCUCUAUUUUGCUCAGCAAUUUGAAUUUUCUAACACCCUGUUAAACUGGAUAAUACUGGUCCUCACUUUUCUCUGUUCUGCAAAACUCCAGAAUGUUUUUUUAGCGUGAAGGUAAUAUUUACCUGCAUGAAGCGGCCCUCUGAAGUUCCCAGGUUGGCAAUGGUAAGGUUCCCUUUGGUGAAGACAGAUAUCGAAGUUAACAGGAUGUUGUUGAACUGGCCCA